rnacentral:rRNA from 1 species
AGUGAACGCUGGCGGUAGGCCUAACACAUGCAAGUCGAACGGCCGCACAGUAAGAUCUUGCCCUUACUGUUAGCGACUGGCGGACGGGUAAGGCAUACAUCGCCAACUACUUUUUCGUGGAUGAUUACGUAAGGCAACUUACGCUAAUACCGAAUACGAUCUACGGCAUAAAUCAGGAGAUCUUCGGACCUUGCGCGUUUCAAUGAGCCGGUGUCGGAUUAGCUAGUUGGCGGGGUAAAGGCUCACCAAGGCAACGAACCGUAGCUGACCUGAGAGGAUGAUCAGCCACACUGGAACUGAGACACGGUCCAGACUCCUACGGGAGGCAGCAGUGGGGAAUAUUGGACAAUGGGCGCAAGCCUGACGGAGCAAUGCCGCGUGAGUGAAGAAGGUCUUCGGAUUGUAAAGCCCUUUUAUUGGGAAAGAAAAUAUGUGGAAGAAACUCUGGAUGUCUUGACGGUACCUAAUGAGAAAGCCACGGCUAACUACGUG